rnacentral:rRNA from 1 species
UGAGGAAUAUUGCGCAAUGGGCGAAAGCCUGACGCAGCGACGCCGCGUGGAGGAUGAAGGUCUUCGGAUUGUAAACUUCUGUUAAGUGGGAUGAAAUACGCGAGUUUAAUAGACUCGUGGGCUGACAGUACCACUAAAGAAAGCACUGGCUAAUCUCGUGCCAGCAGCCGCGGUAAUACGAGAGGUGCAAGCGUUAUUCGGAAUCAUUGGGCGUAAAGGGUGCGCAGGCGGCAUAUUAAGUCUGCUGUUUAAUUCCCCAGCUUAACUGGGGGCAAGCGGUAGAUACUGGUAUGCUUGAGUGUGGAAGAGAGAAGUGGAAUUCUCGGAGUAGCGGUAAAAUGCGUAGAUCUCGAGAGGAACACCGGUGGCGAAGGCGGCUUCUUGGUCCAUUACUGACGCUCAUGCACGAAAGCGUGGGGAGCAAACAGG